rnacentral:rRNA from 1 species
ACGGAAGGCAGCAGUAGGGAAUCUUCGGCAAUGGGGGCAACCCUGACCUAGCAACGCCGCGUGAGUGAAGAAGGUUUUCGGAUCGUAAAGCUCUGUUGUAAGAGAAGAACGUGUGUGAGAGUGGAAAGUUCACACAGUGACGGUAACUUACCAGAAAGGGACGGCUAACUACGUGCUAGCGGCCGCGGUAAUACGUAGGUCCCGAGCGUUGUCCGGAUUUAUUGGGCGUAAAGCGAGCGCAGGCGGUUUAAUAAGUCUGAAGUUAAAGGCAGUGGCUUAACCAUUGUUCGCUUUGGAAACUGUUAGACUUGAGUGCAGAAGGGGAGAGUGGAAUUCCAUGUGUAGCGGUGAAAUGCGUAGAUAUAUGGAGGAACACCGGUGGCGAAAGCGGCUCUCUGGUCUGUAACUGACGCUGAGGCUCGAAAGCGUGGGGAGCAAACAGGAUUAGAUACCCUGGUA